rnacentral:rRNA from 1 species
ACGAACGCUGGCGGCGUGCUUAACCCCUGCCAGUCGAACGGAAAGGCCCUGCUUUUGUGGGGUGCUCGAGUGGCGAACGGGUGAGUAACACGUGAGUAACCUGCCCUUGACUUUGGGAUAACUUCAGGAAACUGGGGCUAAUACCGGAUAGGAGCUCCUGCUGCAUGGUGGGGGUUGGAAAGUUUCGGCGGUUGGGGAUGGACUCGCGGCUUAUCAGCUUGUUGGUGGGGUAGUGGCUUACCAAGGCUUUGACGGGUAGCCGGCCUGAGAGGGUGACCGGCCACAUUGGGACUGAGAUACGGCCCAGACUCCUACGGGAGGGAGCAGUGGGGAAUAUUGCACAAUGGGCGGAAGCCUGAUGCAGCAACGCCGCGUGCGGGAUUACGGCCUUCGGGUUGUAAACCGCUUUCGCCUGUGACGAAGCGUGAGUGACGGUAAUGGGUAAAGAAGCACCGGCUAACUACGUG